UACGAGGGGGGCGAGCGUUGUUCGGAAUUAUUGGGCGUAAAGGGUGCGCAGGCGGCCGAGUGUGUGAGGCGUGAAAGCCCGGGGCUUAACCCCGGAAUUGCACCUCAAACUACACGGCUAGAGCAUUGGAGAGGGUAGCAGAAUUCAUGGUGUAGCAGUGAAAUGCGUAGAGAUCGAGAGGAACACUAGUGGCGAAGGCUGGGCUCUGGACAGUAUCUGACGCUGAGGCACGAAGGUCAGGGGAGCAAACGGG
rnacentral:rRNA from 1 species